CCUACGGGGGGCUGCAGUGGGGAAUAUUGGACAAUGGGGGCAACCCUGAUCCAGCCAUGCCGCGUGUGUGAAGAAGGCCCUCGGGUUGUAAAGCACUUUCAGUGAGGAAGAACGCCUGGUGGUUAAUACCCAUCAGGAAAGACAUCACUCACAGAAGAAGCACCGGCUAACUCCGUGCCAGCAGCCGCGGUAAUACGGAGGGUGCGAGCGUUAAUCGGAAUUACUGGGCGUAAAGCGCACGUAGGUGGCUUGAUAAGCCGGUUGUGAAAGCCCCGGGCUCAACCUGGGAACGGCAUCCGGAACUGUCAAGCUAGAGUGCAGGAGAGGAAGGUAGAAUUCCCGGUGUAGCGGUGAAAUGCGUAGAGAUCGGGAGGAAUACCAGUGGCGAAGGCGGCCUUCUGGACUGACACUGACACUGAGGUGCGAAAGCGUGGGUAGCAAACAGGAUUAGAUACCCUUGUAGUC
rnacentral:rRNA from 1 species